rnacentral:rRNA from 1 species
UACGGAGGAUGCAAGCGUUAUCCGGAUUCAUUGGGUUUAAAGGGUGCGUAGGCGGGCUAUUAAGUCAGUGGUGAAAAGCUGCCGCUUAACGGUAGUCUUGCCAUUGAUACUUUUUGUCUUGAGUUUGUUUGAGGUAGGCGGAAUGUGGUGUGUAGCGGUGAAAUGCAUAGAUAUACCACAGAACGCCGAUUGCGAAGGCAGCUUACUAAGCUGUUACUGACGCUGAGGCACGAAAGCGUGGGGAUCAAACAGGAUUAGAUA